GAUGAAGAACGUAGCGAAAUGCGAUAAGUAAUGUGAAUUGCAGAAUUCAGUGAACCAUCGAAUCUUUGAACGCACAUUGCGCCCGCCAGUAUUCUGGCGGGCAUGCCUGUCUGAGCGUCAUUUCAACCCUCAUGCCCCUAGGGCGUGGUGUUGGGGAUCGGCCAAAGCCCGCGAGGGACGGCCGGCCCCUAAAUCUAGUGGCGGACCCGUCGUGGCCUCCUCUGCGAAGUAGUGAUAUUCCGCAUCGGAGAGCGAUGAGCCCCUGCCGUUAAACCCCCAACUUUCCAAGGUUGACCUCAGAUCAGGUAGGAAUACCCGCUGAACUUAAGCAUAUCAAUAGCGGAGGA
rnacentral:misc_RNA from 1 species